UGUACCAAAAGCAAAGAUGGGAGCAGGCGCCACUCCCGCUGCGGAGUCCGAAGAAGACUUUAAAAUGACAAAAUCUAAAGGAGAUCAGAUUUCUUUACCCAAACACUCCUACUGGUUUGAUUUCUGGGCUUUCUUGCUCUUUGACGUCGUGUUUUUCCUCUUCAUGUACUACAUCGUCCCGUAAAACAGCUUUGUCAUCUGGGAUCUGCAGCCUGAAGAGAUGGAGUCCUGGUCCUGCUUUGCUGUGAGAAAUGCUAACCCAUCUUCUGCUGAAUUCAGCAUGACCUAACUGGGAAACCGUGAUGGAUGGUUUGGACCCUGGGACCGUCCUCUUUCAAUCUUAGAGAUGUGAACCACCAUGCUCCUUCCCUCUGUGACCUGGUGCCAGUUCUGUCUUCACUGGAUGGAUUCACAAUGGGGACAGCAGCAGUGGCAUCACAAAGACUUGAAUAAUCUUCCCUCCUUAAGUUACUUAGAAAGUAUUCCAAGUGUUAUAACUUUAAAAUGCUAAAUGUUUUUUGAUCAAAUUGUCACUGCAAACUAGAAUGAAUUGUGUGAAGUUUUACUUUCAAAUGGUCUUAUUUUAUUUCCAAGAAUGUUAUGUCUGAAAUUGAGUCCUGUCAUUGUGCAUCUGUUUCUUGUAAUAAGCCGUCUGAUUAACCCGUGUGGGGAAGCUGUGAUGAUGGAAGAUAGUUGUGCACCAAAUGAUAUAACAGGGUGAUUCCAGCACAUUAAAAUCUGGAAAUUUUGCACAUGGAAAAUACUACAAAUAAAGUAUUUUAUCUAA